CCUAUGCUCCGGAGAGAAAAGCCCUGGCUCACACAGCCUUUUCCUAAUCCAGGCAGCAACUUGGUCAAUCUCCUCUUGUCCCUCUGUAAAGCCUCCACAUCAUUCCUAUAAUGAGGGAACUGAAUACAACGCUCCAAGUGUGGUUUGACCAGAGUUUUAUAGAGAUGCAAUAUUACCUCAGGACUUUUGAAUUCAAUAUACACUUUCUUAACCGCCUAUCAUCUUGCAUGGCAACUUUCAGGCAUCAAUGGAUGUUGAUCCCAAGACCCAUCUGUUGUCCACACUGUUGGGGCCAGGACCUGAAAGAUUAGGUGUUUGAGGAAGAGAGAAUGACAUUUAUUUAUUUUUAUUUUACUUAGAGAUACAGCAUGGUGUCAAGACCUUCUGGCCCAGCAAACCUGUGCUGCCCAAUUAUACCCACGUGGCCAAUUAACCAAUAACGCGACAUCCAUGGACUCUGAGUCUGGACUUUUCUCCUUACUUGGUUGUAUUUUGCCGAUAUUUCACAUCCGCUUGCUACCUUAUUUGGGCUAUGUGUGCUUUGUGCUGUGUGUGACUGCUGGGACUGCAUUUUGCACCUUGGCACUGGAGUAACGCUGUCUCGUUUCGCUGUAUUUAUGGGUAUUCAUGUAUGGUUGAAUGGCAGUUAAACUAGAAUAGAAUUGAAUUGAACCAGUACAUCUUUGGAAUGUGGGAGAAAACUGGAGCACACGGAGGAAACCCAUGCGAUCAUGCGGAGAACGGACAAAUUCCUACAGACAGCCGUAGAAAGGCAGAAGCGUUGUGGAAGAUCGAAACAUUGAGGCAGAGGAUAUGGCUGUCGAAGGCCUCUCUCUCUCUCGAUGGUGAAGGAGAAGGAGAAUCUCACAUCGGGGGAACUCGAAAUAAGCGACGCCGCAGACUGUGACAUUGAAACAGUGAGCUGCAGGCCUCCCCUCCCAAAGUGGCAGGAGUGAUGCUUCUCUCUCCCUCAUUAGUGAGAGACAUUUCCUGUUGGGAUGUCCAAGUGUUGAGCAGCUUAAGGUCUCGUCACCAACUAUGAACUUACCAUUUUUGAAUGGCAGAUACAGAAAAGAAAGAUUUGUGCUGACUUCAAAGGACAGAGGUGAGCAUACACACAGUACUACUUUAGUAGAUAUGGAAAUGUACCCAAUAAAGUGGUCACGGGAGUGGAACACUGUGUGGUCCCCUGCUGCUGUAGACCAUCCACUUCAAGCAUCAAUGUGUUCAGAGAUGCUCUUCUGCACACCACUGUUGUAACGUAUAGUUGUUUGAAUUACUGCUGCCUUCCUCGUAAGUUUGAACCAGUAUGACAAUUCUCCCCUGACCUUUCUCAUUAACAAAGUGUUUUCGUCCUCUGAACUACCACUCACUGGAUUUUUUUUAUUGUGCGCACCAUUCUCUGUAAAUUUUAGAGACUGUUGUGUGUGAAAAUCCCAGGAGAUCAGCACUUUCUGAGAUACUCCAAUCACCUAGAUUGCCAGCAACAAUCUUCCCACAAUCAAAGUUACUUAAAUCACAUUUUUUUCUCCAUUCUGAUGUUUGGUCUGAACAACAACCAAACCUUUGAACACACCUGCAUGCUUUUAUGCACUGAGUUGUGGCAACAUGAUUGGCUGAUUAAAUACUUGCACUAAAAACUGGUGGACAAUUGAACCUAAUAAAGUGGCCACUGAAUGGAGAUUUAGUCAUGUCAACGUACGAGAAAAAAAACUGAUCAAUGAAGCAGUUUCCAAUGUUAGUUAAAGUGAAGAUCAAAAAUACCGAAAUGAUUAAAAAGCUGUUUCUCUCUGACUGCAACUGGUGCAUUAGUCAAGACUGUGUGUAUAGUACACCUUAAUGGAUUUCAAGCUUACUUCAAAUGUGCUGUGGUAAGCUAAGAAGAAAAAUGGCAACAGCAUCUUUUAAAGUCUGCGUAUCUGCCAUGAAUUUUGCAAAUACAUUAUGUCUUCCAAGAGCCGUUCAAUAAUAAUGUGCAAUCAAGUCAGAUAAAAGUCAAGUGAUGAUUUGCUUGCACAGCAAUAUGUCUUUUUGAAUCAUUUUGGAAUAUUUUAUGAUGUUUAAUCUUAUUCAUAAGAUGUAGCUGCCUCACAAGUUGACUUUGUAUUGAUAGGAUUUAUUUCAAAAUUACAGCUUUGUGUUAGUGAAACUUAAUAAAGAUUGG